AUGUUAUUCACUUGGUACCCACCUAUCUCCCGGAUGCCUCCAUAACCCCUCUCACGUCUUCAUCUCCUCCCGAACCCCUCUCACCCGAACAUCAUCUCACGCCCUCUCAGUCCAACUCCUCUCCGGUGAACCCCUCUCCGUGACAUUUCCUUUCCCAUUUUCUGCGACGUUCAUCUUCCUCAAGUUUGUAUCCUUCGUCAACCCCUUCUCCCUCGACCACCAACGUGCUGGAAGGCGGCGAAACCCUAACCCUAGAUCACGCCAUGGUCGAGUUCGGAGGUGCCGCCCCCUGCGUGGUGCACGAGUUGAUGGGCAGCGGCGGCAUAUUUCGAGUGCCUAUCUUCGCCGUCGUACACCCCGGACACGCUCCGGCACUCAAGGUGCGCCCCUACCCUCUACGCGAAACCCAGGCCAGGUCCUUCCUCAGCACCAUUGCUUGCCCCGGGUCGCAUCUCUGGGCCGAACAGGAGUCCAGCCUAUGGGUGUGGAACCUCAAGGAGGUUUUUGAGAACGGGGAGCCCGGCGUCAUGGUAAGGAGAGGCGAUGAGAAAAGCCCGCAAUGCUGCUAAUGGCUUGAUCUGGAGCGGUCACAAGGAUGGAAAGAUCAGGUCUUGGAAUAUGGAAUUACCCAUCACUGCUGAUGCCGCUUCAGAUGAUCAUGGCUCUUCUUCGUCCUCUACGGGCAGUAGUAGUGGUCAUGGUGGUUGCCCUCCAUUCAGAGAAUGUCUUUCAUGGCAGGUGCAUCAUCGAUCUCCAGUUCUAUCCAUGGUUAUCACAUCUUAUGCAUCAUAGGUUGGAUUAGUUGUUGUUAGAUUGCAAGAGGUGGAAAUGGGGGCUGGAUUCCUUGCAAUGGCUGUUGCUAAAGAAACUGUAAGAUAUUUAUCCCUGUAUUUUCCAUUUUUUUCUCAUAGAAUCCAGGUUUUUUUUAGUAUGAUCUAUUCCUUUCUUACAAUAUUAAAAGCAAAGGGAAGGUAGAAUAUUUUUCCAUCAGUUUUGACUAUGCAAGAUUUUUACCUUUUUCUACCUUACAUAAUUAUUGUGUUAUGAAUGUAGUGGCGAAAUUGAUCUCUUUCCUAUUUGCUUAAUCUUUUGAAUAGUUGGUCAUCCAAUCAAAUUUAAACAGAUUGUCCUCUAAUAAUUCUGCUAGUGACACAGUUAUAAACUGAAGGGUUCGUUCAUGGUUUGAGUCAGAUCACUCAGUUGGCUCAUUCACAAAAGAUGGGGAGUGCUGAGAAUAUAAAGUAAAUAUUGAAUAUUUUCUAACAUGUUAAAACUUUUGGGAUGGGUUGUCAACCAAUCUAACCUAUCAUAUCCAUCCUAGAAUAACAUUUGAGCAAAUUUCUAUCCUUAGAAAUGCUUUCAACUGAAAACAACAAAAUAGUAAUCACCACUUGCAAUUCAUCACUAUAAGUAUUUAUUUAAUUAUGUAGUAAUCACUAUAGCCGGCCCCAUCUAGUAGGAUAAAACUUGGUUUAUUGUUGUGUAGUAAUCACCACUAUUAAACUGUAUUCAAUGUUUCUGUUAAGUGAAAAUAAAAGAGGUUUGCUUCACUGUCAUUAUGUAAUAUUAUUUGUUAGAACUAUUCUCUUGUCUAAUAACUUGAGCAUUUGCAUGGGAUAAGUAAGAUCUGAGUAGGAGGUUGUGUUGAAUCUUGUUAUCUAUAGACAUAUAUAUUUAUAUUUAAGUCAACAUACUUGUUGGGCUAGAGUCAAUUGUCCAGUCUUUCUUCACGAUGAAUAUUAGCAAAACAGCUAACAAUUCAGAUCUUUCAAGAUAAAUGAUUAGCUCAAUAUCUUUAUUCAUAUAUGUGUGAAUUUGCAUAGCAGGCACACAUUAUGACUCCAAUAUGGUAACUAGUUGUCAAGCAUAUUGCUAGACCUUAACUAGAUUCUUGGAUCAAUUGGAGGAAGCACUUGUUUGCAUUUUGUGUUGUUUUUUAGUUCCAUUAGUCCUUUGUUAGAUUACAUGUGCUAAUAUACAUGUAUAAAAGAACAGAAGGCUUAACCUUAUGCAAUAAAACAUGAAUUUGUAUAGGUUGUAGAUGCUUAGACAUGUAUGCUAUUUUGGAAAGUAUCUUAUUGUAAAAUAUUUUCUUUGUUUAAGCUGCAGAAGAGCUAUGUAACUCAGCAGUUGGCAUACUCUUGUCCAUAUCAACUCGUGUGUAAGUUGGAUGAAAUUUUGGAGAAUCACUCCUGGCAAUAUAUUUCUAUGAAAUUUGGUCCCUUUUAUUUAAUGACCUUGUGUACAGAGAAAAAAAUAAUAUUUCUAUUUUGUUUCUAAGUUUAUCUGGUGAGAAAUAAUUAUGAUUUUCUGUAACAAUAUUAGCUAUUUAGAUAUGUGCUUAGUUAUUUAUGUUGCAAAGAUGCUUUCACUCUUCAUGUCACUUGGUAAUGAUUAGUAGUAGCGACAGAUGUAAAUAUAAGGCGAACACUACUAUAAAAUCCUAGGUGUGAAGGACCUCUCGUUAAGUUUAUAAGUUCAACUUGGGUGAGAGUUAUUUCUGCUAACUUCUCUGAAUGUAUGUCUAAUUUCCAAAGACAUAUUUUCAAUCUUGUAAAAUAUAACUUCUAGACUGAUGAUACUGUCUUUAAAUUUGUGACUACUCUGAUGAUCUUAGGUAGGACUUGAGGGGAGUGCUAAUGAUGGGCAAUGGUGGUUGAAUGCAAUUGGCAAGACCUUAGAUGAAGGAUCUUCUUUUCAACGUGUUGUCUCUAGGCAAUUAGCAGGGUUACUCAUUGUUGCAUUAUACACAGUGGUAGGUGUUUUGUCUCAGUCUCAAGCCGAUAAUCAUUUUUGAGUAUAACUAGUAGAAGUAAGCAUGCAGAUCAUUGCCUUCGAGACUGGCUAGUUAUUUUGUGCUAUUUUGUUUUAAAUUUGAAUGUCACUAUCUACUUUGAAAAAGAACUAUUUAAUCUUUGAAAUCAUUUGUUGAAUUCUACAUUGUAGCUGAAUUCUCUUGUAAAUACCAAUAUCUAUUUUGUAGUUGAAUUCUAUUAUUUUGGUUGAA